UACGUAGGGUGCAAGCGUUGUCCGGAAUUAUUGGGCGUAAAGAGCUCGUAGGCGGUUUGUCGCGUCUGCUGUGAAAAUCCAGGGCUUAACCCUGGACCUGCAGUGGGUACGGGGCAGACUAGAGUGCGGUAGGGGAGAUCGGAAUUCCUGGUGUAGCGGUGAAAUGCGCAGAUAUCAGGAGGAACACCAAUGGCGAAGGCAGCACUCUGGGACGGUACUGACGCUGAGACGCGAAAGCGUGGGGAGCAAACAGG
rnacentral:rRNA from 1 species